UGUCACCAAGCAGAAGACUGAUGCUUCUAGUAAAGAAAGCAACAACAAGAUACAACUAUACCAAAAAUACUUGAUUCAUCAUAAUACGCAAAGGUGAUAACGGUGACCUGGCCCAUGUGGAGGCUGCAGUUCCUGGAGCGAGAGGGGCCCAUAGGGCCACGGAGUAGCGUCUCACAACAAAGAAAAGAAAUUUGCAUAGGAAACCAGAGAAAGGCAAAUCCAUCCUGACUGGAUGAGCUCAAGAAAAUGAUACUGUUGAUCAAGGAACAAGUUGCCCUGAUAAACCAGAUAUGUAAGGCUGUGCCAUAUUGAUAUGACUAUUGAGGACAUCUGGUGGCAACAGCUGGGAAGUACACAGACCAAACAGGAAGUCAGGGCACCAACAUGGAGGAGCACAGGGUCAUAAGAGCACUUGAUAAUGAAGCUGAUGACUGAGGGUGGGAUUUGUUUCAAUAAACUAGCUUCAUU